rnacentral:rRNA from 1 species
AGAGUUUGAUUCUGGCUCAGGAUGAACGCUGGCGGCGUGCUUAACACAUGCAAGUCGAACGAAGCAGCUUUCUUGCUGCAAGAAAGUUGACUUAGUGGCGGACGGGUGAGUAACGCGUGGGUAACCUGCCUCAUGCAGGGGGAUAACAGUUGGAAACGACUGCUAAGACCGCAUAACCCGCUAGUGUCGCAUGACACGGACGGAAAAUAUUUAUAGGUAUGAGAUGGGCCCGCGUCUGAUUAGCUAGUUGGUAAGGUAACGGCUUACCAAGGCGACGAUCAGUAGCCGACUUGAGAGAGUGAUCGGCCACAUUGGGACUGAGAUACGGCCCAAACUCCUACGGGAGGCAGCAGUGGGGAAUAUUGGACAAUGGGGGAAACCCUGAUCCAGCGAACCGCCGCGUGAGUGAAGAAGUAUUUCGGUAUGUAAAGCUCUAUCAGCAGGGAAGAUAAUGACAGUACCUGACUAAGAAGCCCCGGCUAACUACGUGCCAGCCGCAGC